rnacentral:lncRNA from 1 species
UAAGGUGUGACUAUGUAAAAGAUCCUUUGCAAAGUACUGGUGACCUUGAAGACAGAUUCUGUAGCUUAAAGACUUAGAAUCUAGUGUGUUCUCUGACUGAGAGAGCAUAAAGAUCAGCAGGCCUUAAGGUACCAGAGGAUCCUGUGGGUUGCCACAAGACAAGAAACAGGAUGAUAACCUGAAAUAGACACAGAGCUAUUGCUAUAAUUGCCUGUCUAGAAGUUAGGUAAAUCAUCUAAACUGUAAAAUAGCUUAACCUUCUUAGCUCUUAUUGAAGCCAGGAGGGAAGUGUUGAGUUCAGCAAUUUUUCCUCAACGGCAUCUAAGAGAACACUUUAGAAAGUUUUCCAUUGAUGCCAGGGCCAAGUUUCUGUUGUGUUGUAGAGGGCAGCAACUCUGCUUCCUCUCCAGGCCCUCUGGAGGAUCACUCUCAUUUCCAAACAGAACUCUCCAAGACUAAAACAAUGCCUAAGAGAAGCAGGCUGGAAAUCUUGGCUCUCACAACUCUAACUUGGAAGUAUUUACAUUCCUUUGUAUUUUAGCCCAUCUGGGUCGGAUGAAUGAAGUCUUGCCCAAAAACUGUGACCUUUGAAUAAGCUUCAAACUGCUCAGUGGGCCAGUUGGAACAAAUGUUCAAGAGCAUCAAAGAACCAUCUUUUUAGAGAAAGAUAAAGAUGAAGGUGUGUAUCAGUGAAGUAUAAACUACAGCUUCGUUGGUGUCAGAAGUAUUCUACAGACAGAAACCUAUGGAAGAAAUGGAGGAACUGAGUGGGAUCAUAAAAUACCAGAACAGGAUAAUAAUAGCAAUGAUGGUGUAAAUUGUGUGCGGCAAAUACUGGUGUCAGAGCUGUCCCCUCAG